AGGCCGUGAUGGGGACACUUGCAUAAUAGCUCCUUGAAUCUUUCCCAAGUUUCAUAUAAGGAUUCCCCAUCCUCUUGUGAGUAUGUAUUAAUUUCAGUCAUUAAUUU
rnacentral:snoRNA from 1 species